ensembl:lncRNA SNHG26 small nucleolar RNA host gene 26
GAAGCAGUGUGAGCUAGCGUCUAAGGAUUGUGAAAACUGAGCAAGUGCCCAGAACUAGAAACUUCCCAGCCCCCUGAACUCAGCCUCAGGGUAAGCGAGUUUAAUAGUGCUUCCUUUGAUUUUCAAAUCUGUGGAAGGUUUGUUUCAGUUUUUCCCAGACAAAUAUUGUUGGGAUAGUGUUUCUUUUCAAAAAUGGAUAGGAUUCAAUGCUCAUCAGUGGGAAGAUAGUGACUCCUGACCAUUUUCCUCCUAGCUGGAAACUACAGAAGACUCCCAAGUAUCAGGAAAUUUGGAGAAUUUGUACAGGAAUUAUAUUCAGAGAUAGCAAUUUAUUUACUCAUCAAAGAGAGCUAUUGGAUAGCCACCAUAAAGACCACUCAUUAAAAAACAAAAUUGCAUGAUAUUCUUAACAUUGUCUUUCACUUUUUUUAACCAGGCUUGGUGGAGUUUCAAGAUGCUGAUGAACUUAAGGUCUGGCGCUUGAAAGAAUCAGUGAAGCUUUUCAAGUAGAGGAGGUAUAUUUGAAUAUGUAACCUUUAGUAUCUACAGAAUAGAGGUUGCUUUUUUUUUUUUU